CAUGCUUCUUUUUGUUAUCUGACACACCUGAAUGUUACUUGAACCAUAUAGAGCUUGAAUUUCCUUAUCUACAAGUGCCUCCCUCAGAGAAUUUCUGAAAGUAUUAAAAGAGAUAAGAGAUGCAAAGCAGUUAGCUCAGUGUCUGUCACAUUAAAGCAAUAAGAGAGAACUAUAGCUGUUAUUAUUUUGUUUUAUUUCAGGAGACUUCUUGGAGGGGGAAGUGUAUAAGCAGAUGAGAUUAUAAAGGAGUGAUCUCGGAAAACUGAAGUAAUAUGAGAAUAGUAUAUCCUAAGUAGAGAAGGAGAAAGUCAUUCAAGAACUGACUGAAUGGAAUCUAUCUAUUGUGUUGUUAAUUGGAUGGCAGUACCAAAGAAAAGGUUAAGCUUUCAGAAGAUUUGAGGAUAAUAAAACUAAAUGGGGAGGUACCA
rnacentral:lncRNA from 1 species